UACGUAGGGAGCAAGCGUUGUUCGGAUUUACUGGGCGUAAAGGGCGCGUAGGCGGCAUAUUAAGUCAUCUGUGAAAUCUCCGAGCUUAACUCGGAACUGUCAGCUGAUACUGAUGUGCUAGAGUGCGGAAGGGGCAAUCGGAAUUCUUGGUGUAGCGGUGAAAUGCGUAGAUAUCAAGAGGAACACCUGAGGUGAAGACGGGUUGCUGGGCCGACACUGACGCUGAGUGCGCGAAAGCCAGGGGAGCAAAAGGG
rnacentral:rRNA from 1 species